rfam:Roseburia sp. 831b contig000008, whole genome shotgun sequence.
UCAGAGGAUUCAUUGGAAUCCACAAAACAGACACCGGUCAGAUUCUU